rnacentral:rRNA from 1 species
GAUGAACGCUGGCGGCGUGCCUAAUACAUGCAAGUCGAGCGAACGGACGAGAAGCUUGCUUCUCUGAUGUUAGCGGCGGACGGGUGAGUAACACGUGGAUAACCUACCUAUAAGACUGGGAUAACUUCGGGAACCGGAGCUAAUACCGGAUGAUAUUUUGAACCGCAUGGUUCAAAAGUGAAAGACGGUCUUGCUGUCACUUAUAGAUGGAUCCGCGCUGCAUUAGCUAGUUGGUAAGGUAACGGCUUACCAAGGCAACGAUGCAUAGCCGACCUGAGAGGGUGAUCGGCCACACUGGAACUGAGACACGGUCCAGACUCCUACGGGAGGCAGCAGUAGGGAAUCUUCCGCAAUGGGCGAAAGCCUGACGGAGCAACGCCGCGUGAGUGAUGAAGGUCUUCGGAUCGUAAAACUCUGUUAUUAGGGAAGAACAUAUGUGUAAGUAACUGUGCACAUCUUGACGGUACCCAAUCAGAAAGCCACGGCUAACUACGUG